AUACGUAUGUCGCAAGCGUUAUCCGGAUUUAUUGGGCGUAAAGCGCGUCUAGGCGGCUUAGUAAGUCUGAUGUGAAAAUGCGGGGCUCAACCCCGUAUUGCGUUGGAAACUGCUAAACUAGAGUACUGGAGAGGUAGGCGGAACUACCAGUGUAGAGGUGAAAUUCGUAGAUAUUUGUAGGAAUGCCGAUGGGGAAGCCAGCCUACUGGACAGAUACUGACGCUAAAGCGCGAAAGCGUGGGUAGCAAACAGGAUUAGAUACCCUGGUAGUCCACGCCGUAAACGAUGAUUACUAGGUGUUGGGGGUCGAACCUCAGCGCCCAAGCUAACGCGAUAAGUAAUCCGCCUGGGGAGUACGUACGCAAGUAUGAAACUCAAAGGAAUUGACGGGG
rnacentral:rRNA from 1 species